CGGGCCACCACAACGUGCUCAAUGCCCUGUCGGCGAUUGCCGUGGCGGUGGAGCUCAACGUGCCGGAUGCCGCCGUGCAAAAAGCGCUGGCCGAGUUCAAGGGCGUGGGCCGGCGCUUCCAGCGCUACGGCGAGGUCAAUGCGCGCGACGGCGGUGUGUUCACCCUGGUCGACGACUACGGCCACCACCCGGUGGAAAUGGCGGCCACCCUGGCGGCGGCACGCGGGGCGUUUCCGGAUCGGCGGCUGGUGCUGGCGUUUCAGCCGCACCGCUAUACCCGCACGCGGGACUGUUUCGAGGAUUUCAUCAAGGUGAUUGCGCAGGCCGACGCCGUGUUGCUGUCCGAGGUGUAUGGCGCCGGGGAAGCGCCGAUUGUGGCCGCCGACGGCCGCAGCCUGGCACGCGCGCUGCGCGUGGCCGGCCGCAUCGAGCCGGUGUUUGUCGACAGCAUCGCCGACAUGCCGCAAACCAUUGUGGACAACGCCCGCGACGGGGAUGUGGUGCUGUGCAUGGGCGCCGGCUCGAUUGCCGCCGUGCCCGCGAAAGUGGUUGAAAUGCUACAAAAUUCAGAGCUGCUUGCGCAGGAAGGACGAGGGCUAUGAGUCAGUUUGAUGUAAAUUUUGGAAAGUGGCGGUACUCAUGGGCGGUGCCUCGGCCGAGCG
rnacentral:misc_RNA from 1 species